UUGCUUCAGCAGCACUUACACUAAAAUUGGAACGAUACAGAGAAUGUUGGCAUGGCCCCUGUGCAAGGGUGAUGAACAAGUUUGUGAAGUGUUCCAUAUGCCA
rfam:Picoides pubescens contig22598, whole genome shotgun sequence.